UUUUACAAUGGAGAGUUUGAUCCUGGCUCAGGAUGAACGCUAGCUACAGGCUUAACACAUGCAAGUCGAGGGGAAACGAUAUUGGAAGCUUGCUUCCGAUGGGCGUCGACCGGCGCACGGGUGAGUAACGCGUAUCCAACCUGCCCACCACUUGGGAAUAACCUUGCGAAAGUAAGACUAAUACCCAAUGAUAUCUCUAGAAGACAUCUGAAAGAGAUUAAAGAUUUAUCGGUGAUGGAUGGGGAUGCGUCUGAUUAGCUUGUUGGCGGGGUAACGGCCCACCAAGGCAACGAUCAGUAGGGGUUCUGAGAGGAAGGUCCCCCACAUUGGAACUGAGACACGGUCCAAACUCCUACGGGAGGCAGCAGUGAGGAAUAUUGGUCAAUGGACGAGAGUCUGAACCAGCCAAGUAGCGUGCAGGA
rnacentral:rRNA from 1 species